GAUGAACGCUGGCGGCGUGCCUAUUACAUGCAAGUCGAGCGAACAGACGAGGAUCUUGCUCCUCUGACGUUAGCGGCGGACGGGUGAGUAACACGUGUAUAACCUACCUAUAAGACUGGGAUAACUUCGGGAAACCGGAGCUAAUACCGGAUAAUAUAUUGAACCGCAGGGUUCAAUAGUGAAAGACGGUUGUGCUGUCACUUAUAGAUGGAUCCGCGCCGGAUGAGCUAGUUGGUAAGGUAACGGCUUACCAAGGCAACGAUGCGUAGACGACCUGAGAGGGUGAUAGGCCACACUGGAACUGAGACACGGUCCAGACUCCUACGGGAGGCAGCAGUAGGGAAUCUUCGGCAAAGGGCGAAAGCUUGACGGAGCAACGCCGCGUGAGUGAUGAAGGUCUUCGGAUCGUAAAACUCUGUUAUUAGGGAAGAACAACUGUGUACGUAAAUAUGCACGUCUUGACGGUAACUAAUCAGAAAGCAACGGCUAACUACGUG
rnacentral:rRNA from 1 species